UACGAAGGGGGCUAGCGUUGCUCGGAAUUACUGGGCGUAAAGGGCGCGUAGGCGGGUGUUUAAGUCAGAGGUCAAAUCCCAGAGCUCAACUCUGGAACUGCCUUUGAUACUGGACACCUAGAGUACGGGAGAGGUGUGUGGAACUCCGAGUGUAGAGGUGAAAUUCGUAGAUAUUCGGAAGAACACCAGUGGCGAAGGCGACUCACUGGCCCGGUACUGACGCUGAGGUGCGAAAGCGUGGGGAGCAAACAGG
rnacentral:misc_RNA from 1 species